rnacentral:rRNA from 1 species
AUCGUAUAAAGUUUUGCGCGCGGCUGACUGACCCUGUGAUCCCGGUUGUACACCCGCCUCAAAUCAAAAGCUCAACCAGAGCGCGGAGUCACCAGGGGGGGCACUUAUCGUUAUUACGCCCGAUCCCCGAGGAAAUUCCCCCCACCAAAUGACCUCCGUUUCCGGCUUUAUUUUUUUUUUCAUGCUCAGGACGAACGCUGGCGGCGUGCUUAACACAUGCAAGUCGAACGAUGAACCACUUCGGUGGGGAUUAGUGGCGAACGGGUGAGUAACACGUGGGCAAUCUGCCCUGCACUCUGGGACAAGCCCUGGAAACGGGGUCUAAUACCGGAUACUGACCCGCUUGGGCAUCCAAGCGGUUCGAAAGCUCCGGCGGUGCAGGAUGAGCCCGCGGCCUAUCAGCUUGUUGGUGAGGUAAUGGCUCACCAAGGCGACGACGGGUAGCCGGCCUGAGAGGGCGACCGGCCACACUGGGACUGAGACACGGCCCAGACUCCUACGGGAGGCAGCAGUGGGGAAUAUUGCACAAUGGGCGAAAGCCUGAUGCAGCGACGCCGCGUGAGGGAUGACGGCCUUCGGGUUGUAAACCUCUUUCAGCAGGGAAGAAGCGAAAGUGACGGUACCUGCAGAAGAAGCGCCGGCUAACUACGUGCCAGCAGCCGCGGUAAUACGUAGGGCGCGAGCGUUGUCCGGAAUUAUUGGGCGUAAAGAGCUCGUAGGCGGCUUGUCACGUCGGUUGUGAAAGCCCGGGGCUUAACCCCGGGUCUGCAGUCGAUACGGGCAGGCUAGAGUUCGGUAGGGGAGAUCGGAAUUCCUGGUGUAGCGGUGAAAUGCGCAGAUAUCAGGAGGAACACCGGUGGCGAAGGCGGAUCUCUGGGCCGAUACUGACGCUGAGAGCGAAAGCGUGACCUC